rnacentral:rRNA from 1 species
UACGUAGGGGGCAAGCGUUGUCCGGAAUCAUUGGGCGUAAAGCGCGUGUAGGCGGCUUGGUAAGUCUGCUCUGAAAGCCCGGGGCUCAACCCCGGGAGGCGGGUGGAUACUGUCAAGCUCGAGUCCGGAAGAGGAGUGUGGAAUUCCUGGUGUAGCGGUGAAAUGCGUAGAUAUCUGGAGGAACACCGGUGGCGAAGGCGGCAUCCUGGACCAACACUGACACUGAGGAGCGAAAGCCAGGGGAGCAAACGGG